GACGGAGGAGGCUAGCGUUGUUCGGAAUUACUGGGCGUAAAGCGUACGCAGGCGGUUGAUCAAGUCAGGUGUGAAAGCCCGGGGCUCAACCUCGGAAUAGCGCCUGAGACUGGUCAGCUAGAGUUCGGAAGAGGAGAGUGGAAUUCCCAGUGUAGAGGUGAAAUUCGUAGAUAUUGGGAAGAACACCAGUGGCGAAGGCGACUCUCUGGUCCGAUACUGACGCUCAAGUACGAAAGCGUGGGGAGCAAACAGG
rnacentral:rRNA from 1 species